GUGUGUGUGUGUGUUUGUGUGUAUAACAUAUGUAGAUGUGACGUUCUGUUGUUAACCUUGGUUAAACAGGGACCUCUAGUGGUCACAAGUUACCAUAGCAGCGCUAUGCGCAUUUUGUAUAUGUAUAUGUAGAUGUAGCUAAAGUAUAUAUACUGUAAAUAUGAUUUUAGGACUCUUAUUAUUAUAACAAC